AAUAUCCAAAUAGAAUACUUGGACUAAGGGUCAAAUUGGUUAUUUUUCUUACAUCUCCCCCCCCCGGAGCCCAUGUAUCAUAUAUACCUCCAAAAUAAAGAGCCUUGAAUACUAGAAGAAAAGCACCUAUACUU
rnacentral:ncRNA from 1 species